rnacentral:rRNA from 1 species
UGGGGAAUAUUGGACAAUGGGGGCAACCCUGAUCCAGCAAUGCCGCGUGUGUGAAGAAGGUCUUCGGAUUGUAAAGCACUUUCGACGGGGACGAUGAUGACGGUACCCGUAGAAGAAGCCCCGGCUAACUUCGUGCCAGCAGCCGCGGUAAUACGAAGGGGGCUAGCGUUGCUCGGAAUGACUGGGCGUAAAGGGCGUGUAGGCGGUUUACACAGUCAGAUGUGAAAUCCCCGGGCUUAACCUGGGAGCUGCAUUUGAUACGUGUAGACUAGAGUGUGAGAGAGGGUUGUGGAAUUCCCAGUGUAGAGGUGAAAUUCGUAGAUAUUGGGAAGAACACCGGUGGCGAAGGCGGCAACCUGGCUCAUGACUGACGCUGAGGCGCGAAAGCGUGGGGAAAGCAAACAGGAUUAGAUACCCUGGUAGUCCACGCUGUAAACGAUGUGUGCUAGAUGUUGGGUAACUUUGUUAUUCAGUGUCGCAGUUAACGCGUUAAAGCACACCG